AUCCAGCUGACGAAUCCCGGAUAGGAUGAAACGCUCAUCCUGGAU
rfam:Schistosoma mattheei strain Denwood, Zambia genome assembly, scaffold: SMTD_scaffold0001962